rnacentral:rRNA from 1 species
GCGCGAAAACUUUGCAAUGCGGGAAACCGUGACAAGGGAACUCUGAGUGCCCGUUAAAUCGGGCUGUCCAUCGGUUUAAAUAACCGGUGAAGAAAGGGCCGGGCAAGACCGGUGCCAGCCGCCGCGGUAAUACCGGCGGCUCGAGUGGUGGCCACUAUUACUGGGCUUAAAGCGUUCGUAGCUGGUUUGUUAAGUCUCUGGGGAAAUCUUCCGGCUCAACCGGAAGGCGUCUCAGGGAUACUGGCAGACUAGGGACCGGGAGAGGUGAGAGGUACUCCAGGGGUAGGAGUGAAAUCCUGUAAUCCUUGGGGGACCACCUGUGGCGAAGGCGUCUCACCAGAACGGCUCCGACAGUGAGGGACGAAAGCUGGGGGAGCAAACCGG